UCCCGGCCUCUUGCGUUCUCCCCCUGCUCGCCUCGCUCGCCGCGCCACGCCUCCCCAAGCUCGCCGCGCCUCCUCCCCCCGCUUGCCCCGCUCGCCGCGCCGCGCCUCCUCUCCCCGCUUGCCCCGCCGCGCCUCCUCCCCCCACUCGCCGGACCUACGGAUCCACGCACAGGCGGCCACCGUGCCGCGCUGCCCCACCUCCCCCCUAUUUCGCCUAUGCGCCAGACCGGACGGCCUCCGCCUUGACCAGUGCCCUCUGUACCGCAGCCGGCGGGCACCUUCGCCUCCAUGCGACGGCAACGACCGCGCCCCGUCUACAGAUAACCCGCCUCCACGCCACGCCGCUGGACCUUGCCGCCAUUGAUCUCCGCCUCGGCUUGGGACCUCUGCCCAGCUGAACGACAUUUGCUUUGGUUUUUUGUGGGGAUCAAGCUUGACUCUAGAGUUCUCAACCUAUUAAAAUAUAUUGUUACUCUUGGAGGUGGUCACCAAUAUUUCACUGCUUGGACAGUUCAUGGAAAUCUCGUAGAGUUGAUCAUAGAUGCCAUUUUAUCACAGCUGGAAUGUGAGGUUUGAUUCUUAAUGGAGGCACAUGAGCUACAACGAAGGUGAGCAGAGAGAAGGUAUUCCAGUUUCAUGGUUUAAAGGACUGAUGUUUUCACUUUAUUAUUACACAAAUGGUCUAUCUCUUAUAAACUGAAAGCAAAUUUAGGUCCAAGAACCAACCUUAUUUUGUAGCUACACUCAAUCAAGUGAACAGACUAGCAGGUAUGCCCUUAUCACUUGUGUGGAUGCAAGGAAUUCCAUAAUGAUAUUCCAUUCCACUAGAAGGAUACUUCAAGAAAACGACUAACAGAAGUUGCUUGCAUUACAAUGUUGUAAAUUUCGCAUGACCUCUUCUCGUGAAUGGGGAUUGAUGCUACAACGAUAUUCUUCACUAUUGUGUUCUAGAAGCAUUCCUCCUAUUGUGUAGUAGUAUUAUUAUUUCAGAGUCCGCCAUCUAUGUGGUGCAUCCUCGAUCACGAGUAGUAUUUUAGCCUUCUACCUUUCUGAAAUGAGUUCGUGAUUGGGGAUUUAUACCACAACGAUAUUCUUCACUAUUUGUCUCCUAGAAGCAUUCCUGCUAUUGUGUAGCAGUGCUAUUAUUUCAUAGUCCCCCAUGUAUGAGGUGCGUCCUCAACCACCAGUACUAUUCGUAUCCAUAUACCUUUCUGAAAUGAGUUAUAUCAUCUCACACAAUGGUUAUUCGUACCCUUUGUGGUACAUGUUGUGCCUUCUUCGUCCAACAAUAAAAUCCUAGGAGCUAUGCUUAUCCACGAGGUUGCCUUUUCAUCUUCAAAUUUGCAUAGAUUUUCCUUCGCUACAAUCCUAUUGUCUUGUGGUGAGCAGCUCUUGGGUAUUUGCUUUGUCCAUAAUUAGUGUUUGUAAUCAGUUUUGGCUCAUGCUGAUGAUGUUUGCCAGAAUUAAUUUGUUGCAGAUACAAUUGGCAAGUCCUAGGGAAGGAGAAAGGAUUAUCGACCAUCUGCUGCAUCUAGACUAUGCUUGAUUAUGGGUCUUUUACAAAUAUGGAUAACUUUACAAAGAAGCAAUCCGUGAAUUUGACGUUAGGCAGUUAGGCUUACGAGCUACCUUUUAGAUUAGGCUUUUGUGUAUAUAUUUACUACCCACGCGAAUGCAAAAAGAGCACCAUAGUAGUGAUGAUAACGUAGUUUUCUGUAGUUACCUAGGAUCGGUCCAUGUACUUUAUGCUGUUGUGGAUACAUGGCAUGUUAGACUAGGGUAUUACUACUUAGUGUUUCUAUAUGUAAUGUACUAUACAAAAUAUUAUGUAUGAUAUAUCAGAUCGUAAUGUUGUUUCUCC